UCGGGAAUUUUGGGCAAUGGGCGAAAGCCUGACCCAGCAACGCCGCGUGAGUGAAGAAGGCCUUCGGGUUGUAAAGCUCUUUUACCAGGGACGAUAAUGACGGUACCUGGAGAAUAAGCCCCGGCAAACUUCGUGCCAGCAGCCGCGGUAAUACGAAGGGGGCUAGCGUUGUUCGGAAUUACUGGGCGUAAAGCGCACGUAGGCGGAUUGUUAAGUCAGAGGUGAAAUCCCGGAGCUCAACUUCGGAACUGCCUUUGUGACUGUAUAGCUAGAGUACGGUAGAGGGGGAUGGAAUUCCACAAGUAGCGGUGAAAUGCGUAGAUAUGUGGAAGAACACCGGUGGCGAAGGCGGUUUUCUAGCUUAGACCUGACGCUGAGGCGCGAAAGCAAGGGGGAUCAAACAGGAUUAGAUACCCUUGUAGUCCCUGAGCGGGCUGGCAAGGCGCAU
rnacentral:rRNA from 1 species